rnacentral:rRNA from 1 species
AUUGAACGCUGGCGGCAGGCCUAACACAUGCAAGUCGAACGAGUGGCGGACGGGUGAGUAAUGUCUGGGAAACUGCCUGAUGGAGGGGGAUAACUACUGGAAACGGUAGCUAAUACCGCAUACCAUCAGAUGUGCCCAGAUGGUCUUUGCUUCUUGGUGGGGUAACGGCUCACAAAGGCGACGUACCCUAGCUGGUCUGAGAGGAUGACCAGCCACAGUGUGACUGAGACAAGGUCCAGACUCCCACGGGAGUCAGCAGUGGGGAAUAUUGCACAAUGGGCGCAAGCCUGAUACAGCCAUGCCGCGUGUAUUAAGAAGGCCUUCGGGUUGUAAAGGACUUUCAGCGGGGAGGCGUUACCCGCAGAAGAAGCACCGGCUAACUCCGUGCCAGCAGCCGCGGUAAUAC